rnacentral:rRNA from 1 species
GUGGGGAAUAUUGGACAAUGGGGGAAACCCUGAUCCAGCAAUGCCGCGUGAGUGAAGAAGGCCUUCGGGUUGUAAAACUCUUUUAUCAGGGAAGAUAAUGACGGUACCUGAUGAAUAAGCUCCGGCUAACUUCGUGCCAGCAGCCGCGGUAAUACGAAGGGAGCUAGCGUUGUUCGGAAUAACUGGGCGUAAAGGGCGCGUAGGCGGUUUGGUAAGUUUGAUGUGAAAGCCCUGGGCUUAACCCGGGAACUGCAUUGGAUACUGCCAGACUAGAGUGUUGUAGGGGAUGAUGGAAUUAUGCAUGGAGAGGUGGAAUUCAUAGAUAUGCAUAGGAACACCAGUAGCGAAGGCGAUCAUCUGGACAACAACUGGCGUUGAGGCGCGAAAGCGUGGGGAGCAAACAGGAUUAGAUACCCGAGUAGUCC